rnacentral:rRNA from 1 species
AGCGAACGCUGGCGGCAGGCUUAACACAUGCAAGUCGAACGGUCCUUCGGGAUAGUGGCGGACGGGUGAGUAACACGUGGGAACGUACCCUUAGGUUCGGAACAACACAGGGAAACUUGUGCUAAUACCGGAUGAGCCCUUCGGGGGAAAGAUUUAUCGCCUUUGGAGCGGCCCGCGUCUGAUUAGCUUGUUGGUGAGGUAAUGGCUCACCAAGGCUACGAUCAGUAGCUGGUCUGAGAGGAUGGCCAGCCACACUGGGACUGAGACACGGCCCAGACUCCUACGGGAGGCAGCAGUGGGGAAUCUUGCGCAAUGGGCGAAAGCCUGACGCAGCCAUGCCGCGUGGAUGAUGAAGGUCUUAGGAUUGUAAAAUCCUUUCACCGGGGACGAUAAUGACGGUACCCGGAGAAGAAGCCCCGGCUAACUUCGUGCCAGCCGCCGCCGUAACAC